rnacentral:lncRNA from 1 species
AAUGUCCUAACAAUUAUAUUUUUUAUCAAAAUGGUCUGAAUUGUAAAUUUAACAAAUCGUCAUUAAUCUUUUCCGUCCAUUUUCAUUCACUCCACCACAUGACUUUGCCACAUACACACCACAUCAUUAUUUAAUCUUAAUCAUUACUCAUCAAUUUAAAAUUUAAAAAAAAGAAGAAAAAGAAACUUAUAAAUCGUCUGCCGCCUCUUCCACAAUUUCCGAUUUACUGAAACAACUAUUCCACCACAUAACUUCCUUCCUUCAUCCAAAAUCCGCCGGCCAGCUCUG